rnacentral:rRNA from 1 species
UACGAAGGGGGCUAGCGUUGCUCGGAAUUACUGGGCGUAAAGGGAGCGUAGGCGGAUAGUUAAGUCAGAGGUGAAAGCCCAGGCUGCAACCUUGGAACUUGCCUUUGAUACUGGCUAUCUUGAGUAUGGGAGAGGUAAGCGGAACUCCGAGUGUAGAGGUGAAAUUCGUAGAUAUUCGGAAGAACACCAGUGGCGAAGGCGGCUCACUGGCCCGAUACUGACGCUGAGGCACGAAAGCGUGGGGAGCAAACAGG